UAAAGGGGGGAAUUAAUAAAUUAAUUUUAAUAAAAAAAUUUUUAAUAAAUACAUUUAAUGGGGGUUAAAGUAUUUUUAAAGAAAAAAUUGAUUAGUUUAUAGUGAAUUAGUAUUGUGAAAGAAUUUUGAAAUAAAUGAAAAUUAAAUUUAGAAUAAGUAAUUUUAAUUUAAUGUAUCUUGUGUAUCAGAGUUUAUUAAAAAAAAUUUUUAUAAAAAAAAAUCUCGAAUUUAAAAGAGAUAAUUAAUUAAUAAAGUUAUUGUUGCAUAAAUAUUUUAAAUAAUUAAUUGGAAAUGAAAUGUUAAUCGUUUUUAAAUAUAUCUAGUUUUUUUAGAAAAAAAUUUAAUUUUAAAAUAAUAAAAAAAAAAAAUUAAUUAAUUAAUUUUUUUUUUUAUUAUUUUUAUAUUUUAAGGGAUAAGCUUUAAAAUAAAUUUAAUAUAAUUAUUAAUUAAAAAUUAUUGAAAAUUAUAUAAUUUAUAUUGUUAAAAAAUUUUAAUUUAUUAAAAAUAAUUUCAUUAAAAAUAAAAUUUAAUUUUAAAUUUAUUUUUUUUUAUAAAAAAAAAUUUAUUAAUAAGAAAAAAAUUAUAAUAAUGAUAAAAUUAGUAUAUAAAAUUUAAUUUUUUAAAAAAAAAAUAUAAAUUAAAAUUAAUUAAAAGGAAUUCGGCAAAAAUUCAUAUUCACUUGUUUAUCAAAAACAUGUCUUUUUGAAAAUAAUAUAAAGUCUAAUCUGCCCACUGAUUUUAUAUUGAAGGGCUGCAGUAUUUUGACUGUACAAAGGUAGCAUAAUCAUUAGUCAUUUAAUUGAUGACUUGUAUGAAAGAUUGGAUGAAAUAUGAACUGUCUCUUAAUUAAAUUAUAAAAUUUAAUUUUUUAUUUAAAAAGAUAAAAUAAAUUAAAAAGACGAGAAGACCCUAUAGAGUUUUAUAUUUGAUAUAAUUAAAGUUAUUUAUAAAAUAAAAAAAAAAUUAAUUAUAUUAAAUAUUUUAUUGGGGUGAUAGAAAAAUUAAAAUAACUUUUUUUUUAAUCUUUAACAAUUAUAAUUGAAUAAAUGAUCCAAUUUUAUUGAUUAUAAGAAAAAAUUACCUUAGGGAUAACAGCGUAAUUUUUUUUUUUAGUUCAAAUAAAAAAAAGAGUUUGCGACCUCGAUGUUGGAUUAAGAUAAAAUUUAAAUGCAGAAGUUUAAUAUUUUUGAUCUGUUCGAUCAUUAAAAUCUUACAUGAUCUGAGUUCAGACCGGUGUGAGCCAGGUUGGUUUCUAUCUUUUAGAAAUUAAAAUAUUUUAGUACGAAAGGAUUAAAUAUUUAAAUUAAAUUUAAUUAAUUGAAUUUUAGUAAAUUAUAAAUAAAAUAAGAAUUA
rnacentral:rRNA from 1 species